rnacentral:lncRNA from 1 species
UUUCUUUUUUUUUUUUGGGUGGCAAGUAGUAGGAUUGGACGAGUCAAAGAAGGCAAUUCUUUAAUUCUUUCGGAUAAGGUGAAGCAUUUUAUACGUUACAAAUCUAUAUCUAUAUAAAUUUGAGAAGAGAUUUUUAGCAACAAGCCUCCAUGCAUCUUCCCAUUACCAAUUCCAUUUUUCUAGCAUUUCACAUUUAAUUUAAUUUAUAAAAUAUAUUUCUCUCAACUUCCACAUCUACUCUUCACAUUUGAAAUUGUUGGUUAGUUUUGAAAAUUAUUUCAUUUCAAAUUGUUGGUUGAUGUGCAUGUUAUCCUAUUUGAACUUCAACCUAUCACGUUUCCGAUUGCCUUGCGUUAUUUAUGGUUCUACAACAAUUAAAACUUCUAUAAGAUCAUGAGAAGAGAUAACAAAUAUAACAUCCUUUCAUGCUUUCUUAUUAAUUUAAAUAAGUAAGAUUGUUUACACUCCAUUUUUGUUAUUCACACUUCAAUAAUCAUUUUGAUCAUAUAAUUUUCGGUAAUUAGACUAUAUGAUAAAACAAAUGGUGGAACUGCAAAUAAUAAAAAAUUGAGUGCAAAUAACAUUUUCUUAAGUAAGAAGUGGCUCCCAUGCCUUUCUAAUUAAAAAAGUAGUGGCUCCGCUUACAUAGGAAUUUGGUUUGAAGUUUAUUAGUGGGAGGGUAAAUAAAAAGAAAACAUUGCCAAACUUAGUAAAAGUAAAAAAGUAAAUGAUAAUAUUUUAUCUUUAAACUUAGUAAUCCUAAGUAAAAGGGCAAAAUUAAAUAGAAAACAAAAAGGAAAUAAUGUCGUGGAUUUAAAAAAUCAAGAAUGGUACCAUUCAUGAAAUCCAAAUUAUGAAAUCACUAAAUAAAAAAUAAAGUACUACUAGCCUUUUAACGUGGAAACUUUUUUUUGAAACAUUCAUUUUUGAUAAAAAAUAAUGAUAAUAACAACACCAAUUCUACCAAAUUUUUUUUAAAAAGUAAUAUUAUAGUUUAAGAGAAAGAUAUAGAACAUUCAACCCUAAAAUACUACUUAAUUUGUAUAUAUCUGGCCCAAAUUUGACAAUCGAUUUGAAUAAGAGUGCAAAACCCAAACAUUAAGGAUAACUUUUGGUAUCAUUAAUUAUUUUAUGUAUUCUUAUUGCUGUCUUCAUAUGUAAAUAUGUAUUUGGUAUGUUAAUAUAUAUAUAUAUAUAUAUUGAUUGUAGUACUUGAGGAUAUUAUAUAUAUUAUCAGUUUUUCAUUUCCAUUUUUAGAUACUAAUAAUUGCAACCAUUGUAAUUAAUUUUUAAUUUUAUAUUUUCAUUAUGAUAGGUAAAGUUAAAUAUAUUGGGUCGCAGGGAUAUGAAUUUAGAGGUUACGUAUAGAGGGAGGAGCGAGGGAAGAAAAUGGUGAGAUGUUGAAAAGUAGCAGGAAAGGUUGAAGAAGAAAUAUGGGUUACAAGGAUGGGCGGAGAAAGGAGAGAAGAAGAAAGGGAAUUGCAGGGAUAUGACAGAGAUGACAAAAAAAAAUAAUAGAGAGGGUGGUAUAAUAAUAGAAGAUAUGAAAGUCGUAGGAGGCAUCUGAUGACUAGCUGGCGUAUAAGAGAAGAGGGAAAUGAUGGUGAUUUUUAAUAAUUUUGAGAACUUUAAAAACACAUAUUAUGGAGAAUUUUUUUAAAAAUAUACAUUAAAGUUUAGGAAAAUGCUAAUCUAAAUGCAGUCAACAAUUUUAGGGGCACAAGAUACGAGAAAGAUUUUUUUUUUCUAAAAAUGGAAGAAAAUAAAUUGGUUAUAAUUUAUUUUUUUAUAUUAUAAGUUUUGAUAUAUGGGUAUAACAUAAUAUGUUUUGUCAGAUAUUGAUAAAUUGACUUUUUUAGAAAACUCUUUUCAUCUUACCAUCCAACCUAACCCUCUCCUUAAAUGCGUUAACAAUUCUUUUAUCAUGUAAAUCAUUAUGUAUUAAAUUUUUUUUCAAGAUAUUAAGCAUACACUUCUUUAAAAUUUUUAGUCUAUAUACAUAUUUAUUAUUUUGUACCACAAUAUAUAAAUAUAUAAAAUAUUAUUUUGAUUUGAAAUAUAACCCCGUGCAUAGCACGGGUCAAAAUACUAGUACCUACGAAUUACGGAGUAUUAUUUAAUACUAGCAACUUAUUCGAUGCAUAGCAAGCGCGAGUUUGAAUAUCUGACGAGAUCAAAAUUUCAUCCUUUUGAUUUGGCCGUACAAAAACUUGAGGGUCUGUUUGUUUCGAUGGAAAAUUUUUUCUAAAAAAUGUUUUCCUUUUUUUCUCCUAUGUUUGGCUGCAAAAAGCAUCCAGAAAAUUUUUUUCCAGGGAAAAGGCUUUACCCAAUCAAAUGGAAAACAACUAACUCAACACUGUUUACUCUUCCAAAACAAAACCCUUGCUUCUGUAACUAGUUUUUCUCCGACUCAGUCUCUCUAGCAACUAAUCUACCAUUUCUUGUUUUUUUUUAAUGCAACGAUAAUAUUUGUAUAAUCUACUACUCCCUCCGUCCCACUUUGAUAGUUCUGUUUUUCUUUUUUGUCUAUCUCAAAUUGUAGUCCACUUUCCAAUUGAAGAAUAUAGUUGUAUUUUAAUUUUUCUAAAAUACCCUUAUUUAAUGUAAGUUGUUGUUAUUAUAAAUCUACCCCAUUUAAUGAGAAUUGAUUCUUUUUUUACUAUCAAUUCAAGUUCUCAUAAAAUUGCACUCUAAUUAAUGUGAGGGUAUUUUAGGAAAAUAGCUAUCUAAAUUGAUUGUUCCAACAAAGUUAACUAUUUUUUCUUAAACUGUGUGAAAAAAAAAAUCAAUACUAUCAAAGUGGGACGGAGGGAGUAUAACCUAAUCUAGGGAGGAAAGGAAUUUUUAACCGAUGGGGAAUCUACCAUUUCUUGUUGAAUCUACUUUUACUCUCUCGCUCUCACACACAUAUUUAUGAUUCCUCGUUGAGUCCAUUUUUUCUCUCUCACUCUCGCAUACAAAUUUAUGAUUCCUUUUCAUCUCUUUUUCUAACGUACAUUGAUGGAUAUUUUUAAAUAAAUGUAGCGCUUUAUAGAUUGGUGGAUGUAUUUCCAAAAGAGAAUAAUUUUGUUAGGUCCAUUUAUAGCAUAUUGUUGGGCACGUCAUCUUAUUCAAUUAUUCAUAGAAUUUUCUAUGAAUGCUUAAGAAAGUAUUUUUUUAAUCGUCUUUGACUUUCAAAUGGAGUGUGGUGUUUAAGGUGAAUUGUCUGUAGGAGUGACAGGGAGGUAGUAGUAAUUAUAUUGGAAUGCUGCUAGUUUAAGGAAAAUAUUUUUAAAAAAGUGAACCAACCAUGAGAAAAUCAAAUGAAAAAAUCAAAUAUUUUCAGAAAAAUGAUUUUCAGUGAAAAUUUUUUUCUUGGGAAAAUUAUUUGACAGGCAAAUAAACGGACCCUCAGGCUUGUAGAUUUUCACAAUUGCACAUGAUAAUGGAGAAACAUUCGAGAUCGUGUUGGACCCAAAGCCUUGGAAGACUUUUUCUCUCUUCCUUGGAACUAAGAGGGAAACCGGUUAAUUUGAAGUCUAAUCUCUUUCUUCAACGCAGCAGUGCGGAUCUUUUCCUAUGUUUGUUUGUUUGUUUGUUUGUCUAAGAGACUUAGACCCAUUGGUAUAUUAUCAUCUAAAGUGCAUACUACCAUCUAUAUCUUCUAAAACACUCAACUCCCAUUAAAUCUAUUAUACUUUCACGUCAGAAAUAUAGUAGAAAUACAAAAACGAGAAAUAUUAACUAAAAGGUUUUUUUGGGUAUUAACUAAAAAGUUUUCCCGAGGAGAAGGAUUGGGUUAAGUAGUAAAAUGUAAGAAAUUGUAAGUAGGACAUUUUAAAUUCAAGACAUCUCAUUUGCCAAAAAAAAAAAAAACUGAAAAUUUUUUUUUCUUAACGUUUUUAACAUACCUAAAUCACAAUCAACAAUUUAACACCAGUAGUACAUAACAUCUUUACCAAGUGUUCAUUGAAUAUCCAUUAGACUUAAACGAACCCUAACUAGUAAAACGAUCCUUAUCAGCUAUAGCAGAAUACUAGUAGUAUUAUAAUUACGAUGAAUGUUAACUAAAAUGAUCCUUAUCGAUAAUGCAUAUUAAAGUAGUAAUAUCGUUUUAAGCGCAAGGGGAACUCUAAGCUUGACUAAAAUUAAGCUACGCACAACAUGACUUUACUAAUUAAGAAACUAAUCCAAAACUAACUCAAAGACACCGACCUAAACGAUAAAAUAAAGAGGAACAAGAAAAACUUAUGGUAGAUUAAAAAGAAAGGAAAAACAUGAAAAAAAAAUGCAGAAUGAAAAGCCAAUAAGUUCCUUGCUUCCACGGUAGAAAAAGAAAAGGUCUCACAACACGCAGUCACAAGAUGCCUACCCACUCCAAAAUUGUUUGAAGAAAAUGUUGCCCAAUUCAUUCACGAACUGAGCCACGUGUUUUUACUUUUCCACGGCCAAUCACAAACGUGGCGUGUCCGCGUCGUUCUUCAAGUUUUCAACCAACGACCAAAAUAGACCGAGUAUACAACAAUCGCAGAAUACAAUUUUCUUUUCCCUUUUCUUUUUUGUUUUUUUUUUUGGCCCCUCCUUAGAUUGACUGUUGAAUCCUUAUCGGUUGCCGGCGUACAUUUGUUGGCUGACCGAACAGCAGUCACCAAACAACCUAACUACUAAAGCAUAAAAAUACAACCUUUACUCGCAAGUCAGGAGUUCAAACUACUGCACCUAUAAUUCGAUUUUGUGGAGAGGCCACCGCCUUUCAAGUGGUACUAUAAAUUUAUGUUUUUCUCUCUCAAAAUUUUUGAAAGUUUUCAACAAUGUUCUGCAUAAGUAAUACCUUUGGCCCCUUAAAAAUUUUAAGAACAUUUAAAUUAAUUUCAAAGUGUGUGUAUAUAUAUAUAUGUGUGUAUGCACGCACGUGCAUAAAAUCACGCCGUCGAAGUUAAUACUAUUUUAGUUCGAUCAAUGGCCCAACUGGAUCUGGUAUAUAAAUUGGCUUAAGAGUAAUGCAGCUGGGUUUUUUCUCCUUCUAACUCCCUUUCAUCCGGUUGGAUCCCCUUCUCUGGUACUACAAGUUAACUCAGAAAUAUUGACCCCAAAAAAAAGAAAAAAAGAAAAGAAAAGUCCCCAAACAAAAACUGCUGAGGAAGUUUGCCGGACGCAAGGCUGGAUCUUCACGAGAGUUGACUUUUUAGGUGCAAUCAUAUCUGCUGUCUCCUAUUCUUUUCUUUGUUUGGUCCUUUUUUCUAUUUAGUCCUUGCAAAUGUUUUUGUUUUCUCUCGGUUGAAUUUCCUUUAGUAGCAUUCUUGUUCCGUUUUUCUUUAAUUGUAAAAGUUAAUGCUGAGAUAAAUUAAGAUCAUUAAAAUGGCUGCCCAAAAACAAUUCAAGGUCCCAAAACUUUUGUGGUGGGGACAUGGAGGACUUAUACUAGAGUCGAAAACUCAAGAUAGUUUCUUUGCAUGUCACUAACCAAAUGAUUAAUGUUAAGUUACAGAUCUUCUUGCUUUAAUUACAUUAGCCCAAUCUGAUUGAUUCUCUACACCUAAUGGUAAAUAGAGACAGAUAACAAGUUUAAAGAAUGCUAUGGACCCUUACAUAAGAUAGCUAAAAAUAAAAAAUAAAAAACCAAAGACUCGUCGGCUAUUUGUUCAUUGGGUUGAAAGCAUAUUCUACAUGUACCAAGGCUGAAAUUAAUUUAGUCCCCUUUUUCUAAAAAAGUGUACGUUAAAGGAAGGUAUAAAACCCCAAAUACAUAUUAUCUUUUACGUAAAAUACAGGCUUAUUUUAAUUGUUUGUCUCGGUAAGAAAUCAAUGGAACAUUCCAUUGUGUGAAUAUUAUUUAAAUAAAAAAUGAAUAUUCAAAUGAAUCGGAUUAAUCCGAUAUAUAUCCUACUGUCUCGCCUUCUCUCUUCUCUCUCUCUCUCUCCACACUAUUAAACGGUUUUAUUCCUAAGAAUAUUACUAAUCCCUGUCCUUUGUAACUUUUAGUUCCCUUUGGCGCUUGAUUACUUUUUGGCUUACAUCCACCCAAAAAAAAAAAGCUUUUUAAGAUAAGGCAGCUAAACGAAGACUUAGACUUAUUAGGUAAUAACUUCCACGACAUUUCUAUUCUAAUUGUACGAACUACAAGAGCGACCCCAGUGGGUUCUUUGAAGUUGAUCUUCGUCUCAAUCCUCUUAUCUUUCUUUAUCAUCUCUCCAAAUAUCAUUUUCAAGGAAGACAACUACAAGUUAGACUCCAAAAAAGAUUGAAUAAUGGUAGCAAAUUCAAAACUACCCGACAUCUUUGACAAACUUCAGCUCAUCCUUAAUCUCCCAAAUUUAAUACAUGUUAUUAUUUCAACUUCUCCGGCUUUACCACGGACAAGUUGUAAACUUUCGUACGAGAUUAAAUAUUGGCACUGCCCUUUUUAAGAGUUCAAGAGGCCACUAGAUUGUUAGUUGUGUUUGAACGCAUUAAUUAAUUGCAUGUGAUGCUUCACAGCAUAGAUUUAUCCUCUUAUCCGCCCGUCACCUACCAUGCUGCGAAUUUAAUCUCUAAGGUAGAGACGUCUUGCCUGUUUUCUUGGUUUUGAAAUGAGGAAAUUAAAGGAGCAAUUUCUAGUGAGAAAAGAAAAUGUUUUUUUUUUUUUGAAAAAUUGUAAUUAAACUUGGAAUAGAUCAGUGAUACGGGGAGGAAUUCUAGGUAGGAAAUCCCAAGUUAAAGAACUCCUACUUACAAAAAAAAAAGAAACGUAUAAUAAGAUAGCCCAAUAGAUAAGUAAAUUAUAAAUGGAUGACUUUUUCAGUCUUAUAAAACUUAAUUGAACUUUUCCAAUAUCAGUUUUAUUCAAAAGUCCCGGCUCUUAUAGCCGGUGAGAAAACUUUUAUAUUUCCAUGCCUAAUCUCAUAGACUUGUAGAAGUUUCACUUGCUCCAAACAUAUAUGAAAGCGUAUGAAUCUUCCAUAUCUCUUAUUUGUGGUACUUUUCCAAGAGAAAUAUCUUGUUCUUUUUCAACUAUUGUUCUAGUUAAUCUACUGAAAAAGAAAAAACUGCUCUGCCCCAAUUUGGACUUUCUUUUUGGAAGCUUCUUUAACUUAAAAGAAAUCCGGAUUUUUAUUUGAAAGAAAUAAUAAUCAGGAUGUUAGGCUGCAAUACAGAUCAACAAGCUUCAAGUUGCAAAUCAAGAACUCAAUGAACUCUCAGCUAUUUAGUCACAAAUUGUGGUCAAAUCUUAUAUACUUUUCUCAUUUUUUUUAUUCCAAGUAACAAAAGAAACGUUAAAAAUAUCUUUUUAUCAUACCGUACUUCUAAUCAGCAACCGUGCCAACUGUGUACCAAAACAAAUUCUGCCUUUAGCAUUACUCUUUUCUGCAAAAAUGAAGAAGCAAAAGACUUUUCUCAAGCAUUUCUGCAUCCGUGUCAAGAUCAUAUCUGUGUGGUAAUAAUGGUGACGGUAAUCCAUAAUCCAUUUCUCGACGCAUAGGAGAGUAGAAAGUCACACGUCUUUCCUGACUACUCGAGGCAAUAAUGGAGGAUGACAACUAAACUAUGAGCACAGCAAUUUAUUAUCGAAAGGGCCACAAAUCCAAUAUCCCUUCUACUUAUAAUCUAAGGGUACCCCAAAUUUUGCCGACUCUUGGUACCUUAUGCGGCAGGUUAUGACUACAUCACGUCCAACAUUUAUAUAUUUGCAGUUAUAUCCCGGCUCAAGUCAUCAAGAGAAUAGAUAAGUAUCACUAUAUAUUGUUGAUUCUUUUUUAAAGAAAAUAAAAGAUGAAGCCUCGUUUGGAAAGGAAUUUUCCAUCCAAAAAAUCUCUACAUUUUUUCGUGAACACAUUUUUUAUCUCAUAUAUAUCAAAUCGUUACGGUACAUUUUCUACAAAAACUCUAAAAAAUUGCAAUCCAAACACAAGCUUAGAGUUUCCAAAUUUUCUACAAAAGAAUUACGUCUAAAAUUUUUUUAUAUAUUGCUGAGAAUUUCUAAUUUGUGCUAGGGUAAGUGGAUAGUCAUCUCUCUUUCUUGCUAUUUUAUCUAUUAUAUCAUUUUCGUACGUGAAAUAUACUUGGUGUUUGGAUUGCAAUUUUCUGGAUUUUUUUUUUUUGUAAAAAAUGUACUGUAACAAUUUGAUAUAUGUAAGGUAAAAAGGUGAUUGAAAAAUGUGUUCACGAAACAAUAUACUGUAGUGAUUUUUUAGUGGAAAAUCCCUUUCCAAACAAGCGCCUUGCUUAAUUGGUGGAAAGAUGUAUUGUUUGUGAUUUGCGGAAUCGUAGUGUUACAAAAUUGCCCUUCACAAUAAAAUUACCUUCCCUUAAGUAACAUAUUUCAGAUUUGGAGCCUGAAUGCAGUUCCCUCAAAAAAAAAAAAGAAAACAAAACAAAAAAGAGCUUGAGUGCAGUUAUGAUUCGUCUAUACAUCGUACUGGACAUUUGCAUGUGGGAAAAGUUAAUUCACCUUGGUAGCCAAAUCCCACCCUGUUUGAGGUGAGGUGUUGCUGCCAAUUCUGUCGGUCUUUUAGAAAAAUAGUUUGCAACAGGAGUUGGUGACCAUUAUUGUUUGUGCGGCAAAGAAAAUGGAAAGUGAGCCCUACCCCAGAUCAAUCUUGGUAGCAGCAGCCUUCGUCGAACUUGCAAUUUUUUGGUCCAAUUCCAGGCUCUGAAAUCAGGAUGGUGGCUAUCAUUUUAGUAUUUUACCAGUUGGAAUCUUGAAAAAGCCCGCAUCACCAAGAACACGCAAAAGGCAUACUUCCAAACAUACGAACCUAAUUUCCAUUGUACAAUUACUGUUAAAUUGGUCGAUUAUUAUACCCAAUCAAUAUACUGAUUAGAGCUAAAGUAAAUCAAGCAUGAUACAAGUGCAGCUUGUCAUAGCUCAUCAUACCAGUCAAUUUUGGUUACUUAUUAUACCAUUCAACUUAAGAUAAACGCAAACCCAUGCAAAUGGAAAUUCUUCAACGCAAAUCAUUUGAGAUAAGUUGAAAAAACCAAUUUCGCAUAACAUGGACAAAAAUCAUUAUGGAAAGUGCAGAUUUAGUCCAAAACCAUUUUGACAGAAAUCAACCAUUGUUUGUCCAUGAAAACACCACAGCCAGUGUGUGUGUGUGUGUGUCCCCCCCCCCCCCCCCCUCUUCCCCAAAACACAAAAAUUUUUUUUUUGAAAAGACCUGCUUUACAAGGAUGUUGACUGUCGGUCGAGUGAUUGGGCCACAUGGGCAGGUGUAGUUGUCCAUAUUGGUCCUCAUUCAACAAACAAAGUUGCUUUGGAUAUCUCAUAUCUAGUACAAAGAUGACCUGUGAGCCCACCAUGAUCUUUUAUGAGAUUAGGAUAGAGCUGAAAAGUCUAUGGUUUCAUGUAAUGGUUGGAGUUGAUUCUUGCCACGUUGAUGCCAUGGAGAGAUACAGAAGUGUCUUGAGGGAAUUGAUUGUUUGACAAAUUAGAAUUACGAGUCUACAAACACGAUGGAUUGUUAUAGAUUGGGUUGGUUCAUUUCACCUGCAACUAACUGCUUGAUUUUUUGUAUAUUUCUUGGGGUCGACUCGAUAGCUAUCUAAUCUACUUUUCUUCGCAAGUUGUUUGCUACAUGAUGCUCUUUCCUAGGAAACUGCUUCCAUUUAGGAACCACACAAACGAUUUAGCUCAAAAGCAAUUUACACACACACAAACAAAAUAUAUAGCAGUCUCUUUUAUUGACUUAGUAAAGUCGUUGUCAGGCUAUCAAAAGUUUUGACGGAUUAAGAGUUUUGAUGAUAACUUGAGAGGUGAAUUUCUAGUGUAGGUGACGAUCUUUGCAGUUCUUAUCUUAAAAGCUGACUGUUAAGGAUGGAUUUAAAAAAAUGUAUAAUCUAUUCAGAGUGAUAUGCCUUGGCUACUUGGAGUGGCUAAAAUUAUUGGAGUAUUAUAUCAUUUGCGUGCUUUAAAUGUUAGAAUUGAAAGAAAGUAAACACUUUGAAGUUACAAGCAUUCGGAUUUGAGUUUAUCCUAAACCAAGUGAUCUGGAUUAUAGGCACCAUCCGUACUUGGCCUCUUAUAAAUAAGAUUUUAUCAAACAUACUACUGUCAAAUAUCUUGACUUGGCAUAAAAUGGCGAUACAAAUAAUUAAAGGAACCGAUCCCUUUUUUUUUUUUUUUAAAGCAGAAAAGAGUUGGGAUUCAUGAAGGGAGAAAGGCGAAGGAGGAUCUGAACCUAAGACCUUCAAUUCUUAAGCGUUUCAAUCUUAAUUGAAGAAACCAUCAUUAUAAGGGCUUAUUUUUGGAUUAUGGCACCUUUACCUAGUCCUAGAAAACUUUACAAAGUAGAGGUUUUUUAGGUGGUAGACUUCAAUUUUUCCCGAUACGUAUAUAUGCGCAUGUUCACUUGAACAAGCAAGUUUGAAAAAUACGGUGUUGGUAACAGUCUUUAGGAACAGAUGUAUGGCAAGGCAGAACAUGUACGUAGCUUUUAUUAUACGGAGUUGGUGAUCUUGGAGAUGAACUUUCCCUUUCAGCAAAACAAGAUGGUAGUUAUUUAGUACCAUUAAAGAUUAAAAAUCUACAAGAAUCAAUUAGUAAUAAAACUACCAAUUUUCAGUAGACUUGUACGUCCGGGUUAUGACCUCAGAGUCGUCUUCUUUUAUUCUGAAUGCUGCCUCUUGAAUAAGCUGUUAACUAUCUUUCAUAGCAAGCAAAAUAUCUACUGUAUUAUUUUGCCUGAUCAUGCAAUAUUUCAUUUGAUUUUAAUUUUUCUUUCUCCAUAAUCUGGCAUGCCACUUGGAUAUAAUCGCAAAAUUCAACGCAGGAUUUUUUUUUUUUUUUUUUUUGGUUUAAUCUUAAAAGUGCUAGAAGGCUGAAAGUAUACAACUUUCCAUACAGAAUUGAAACUUAUCCAAAGGCAUUUUUAGCUUCGGACAAAAAAUUGCGAUAAAUUUGCAGAGAACAGUAACACUAAUAUCAAUAUGAGGACGACCUUUUACGUUUUAUCGGCUGAGUUGGUAAGGUUCUAGUGGAUGCGGCCAUGCCUACCCCACGCAGCACCAUGCAAAAGGAUAUAGAUUUCUUUCACAAGACGAGAAUAGAUAUCCUCAGUUUUCAGUAGCCAUCACUGCCAAACGUGAAUUCUUAUCCAUUUGGGUUCGAAAAUUUCUUCAUCACAUGCUUCAUCUCUCUCUAGUCUAGAGGGCCAUUUAAUUUCACCAAUCAAUGUACCAUAUGCUUCGUUGGGUUAUUUCAUAUACAACUAUUUUGUUUGGAGCAUUAGGUAAGAUUUUUUUUUUUUUUUGAAACAAUUUGCACCAAGAAAAACUAAAGAUGUGACGUAGGUUAGGAGGAAUCUUCAGAGAAGAAUAUCAGGGUAUAGGUAUUUUUUUAAAAAAAAAAAUAUCUGAAGAAAACAAACAUUAACUUCUCUCACAAAUACUUCACCAUAUUCUUCAACUCUUCUGGGCUCUUCAGGGGAAAAAAACAAGAAACUAGUUGAAUCAAUUGAAAAUUUGUCAGCAACAAGGAAUAACAUCCGUUGACUCUUUGUUUGCAGAAGACAAAUUGCCUUGUAGAUUUUUUGACAGAGUGAUGUGUACUUUAUUGCAUUUCUUUAUAUCAUCUGUGGGAAAAAAAAAAAUGUUUGUCCUUUUAACCAUUUACUAAUUUUUUGACUUCUGCACUCCAUACCAUUACUUGGCAAUUUUUUGCCUGCCUCAAUUGAAGAGCAGAUGUGCCCAAAUUAAGCAGUUUGACCCAUUAAAGAAAAUUAACAAAAAAUGAAAAAAAAAACAGAAACAAAGUUUUGCAAGCUUAAUGAAAAAAAAAGGAAUUUCCAAUUUUUAAUCUCAAGAUCAAAAUAUUGUCUUCCUAUUACACCCUUUAUCAAGAACAAGGACAAAUUUUGUAUCAUGUUGGACUAGCCCUUGUUUUUCAUUCGAGUGGCAAGCAUAAACACCAUCCAUCCUUCAUUAUCAUUACCACAAAUUCUGCCUCAUUAUCUCCUGCGAAACCAAGAAGCUUUCUGUUUUGUAUUCUCUAAUUGGCAUUGGGCUUUCUCUACUUGGGCUAUUAACACAAGACGUCUACCACCUAGCAAGAAGUGGGCAAGAACGAGAAAGCAAAAAAUCCGUUUUUCUAUUACAGGUAAUAGUAGUCCCAGUGGGUAGCUCGGCUGGUUCCAGUCGUCUGUUUUUACAGCAAAGUCUCAGGUUUGACACCCAUUUGCUACCGUUGCUGGGCAUCUUUGGGGCGAGCUCUGCCCAGCUUGGGGAAAUUAGUCCGGGUGAUUCUAGGAUACCCCUCCAGAGCGUAAAAAAUAAAAAAUAAAAAAACACUACAGGUAAUAGUAUAUUGGUUUUAUGGAGUUUGUUCAUGGAAGACGAAUUAGCGUCUAAAGAAAGAAUCUUCAGGCUUAUACUAUACCGCUCAAAUAAUAAAUUGGGUUAAUUCUAAUAAACCCCCACAAAAUAUAUCUGUCUGUUUCUCUUUAAUUGAAUCAAUUCGCUUCUUGUGCUACGUGUAAUUUUCCCAAUCUAGUACAAUUGGAUCAAGAAGCUCAUAUGAUUGCUAGCUGCAUGGUUUUGUGAAGUGACCAAAUUACCCCACAAGUUCUUUAUUGCUAUUUUUUUUAGUGCCUGCUCUUGUUGAAAAACUUUCUAAAACAAUCCAGUUGUUAACAAUUCUACGUUUUGUGUGAUGUUUGACUUAUGAUCACAAUUGACGUUUAUUUCAAUAUAUAUUAGCCUGUUGCUACUAUUUUUAUAAUUCAUGUUUUAUUAGUUCAAUAGCUUUUGCAAUUAUUCGGGGUUCAUUUUGAUUCAUUUUAUCACUUUUAAGAGUUUUUACAAAAAAAAUUUCUAUAGCAGUGGAAGGGUAAUUUGGUUAGUUCACGAAACUGUGUGUGUGUCAGCAUGACAAAUUUAACCUGAUUGGCAAAAUUGUAAGGACUGAAGAGGUGGAUUAGUUCAAAAAAACAUUCAAGGAGGCUAUAUGAGAAAGUGGCAUUUUUAUUGAGGGAGUUUUGUUGGAAUUAACCGUAAGAAAUAAGCACACGCACAUGUAUGUACAUAUAGGGGUAUAUGGAGAUUAGAAAUCCACAGCUCGUAAUAAUGGGACACUUUUUCUGUACUCUCAAAAGUAGUACAACGGCGAGUUUGAUUCGCGUAUGCCAACUUGGGAUUGUAAUACAGAAUAGAAGCGAUUUUAUAGCAAAUGGUUUUUAAACAAAAGAUAAAAAAAAAAAAAAAGAAAAAGAAAGAGGACGGAGAAUAAAGUUAGUGAAUACAUUGCCCUCGUAUUUGUUCCUAGGAGACAAAUUUGGCAUCGAAAAGAUAGAGAGCCCUGUAGCAAGUUAGGUACAUCUGUAGUACGUGUAAUGGCACAACACUUACAAACAAGAACAUGUAAAAGAAUGAAUUAAGUACUACAAACACAACAAUCAACUGAAUAAUUUCUGGGCUUCGCUUACAAGAAUUUCUUUGAAAGAAUUGCUCAGGUGGACUUGGAAUGUUCUAUCUUGUGAAAAGGCCAACAAAUGCAGCCCAGUAUCCGGCCAACUGUUAAAAGGAAAUAAACAGAGACAGAGAAAAUGUGUUCAGCUUUACGAAAUUAAGCCCUCUUUCUGAAACUUUCCCUACGAGCGAUGCAGCUGAGAAUGAGGUACCUGAGAUAGAAUUCCAUGCCCAGUUUGACCUUCAAUGACUAAUCCAGCAGUCAGACCAAGCAUAGCCCAAGCACCAUUGAUGGCCUCGAUUUCUCGACGUCUCUGUAACAUAUCACACUAGAACAGAUUAGAAAUCAUCUGUACAAUCACGGUAGGAAAGAUACAAAACAGGUCCAAGGGUACAAGAAAAGCCUUAUCAGAAGAAAGGACAAGGAAACAACAGAUCGCAAACUCAAAUUAAUCUUCUUGGAACAUGAUGGCGUGUCAGAGUCACAACAAACUCACAGCUCAUUGUACAUAUCUAUGCCCGUCCAACGACGACAAAUCGCUUGUAUAUAUCUGUACCCCUCCGACAAUGACAAAUCAGUUUUCACGUUUAACACCCUAUGAGGCAGGCAUCACCUCAAAAAUUUCAUUUGGAGGCUGAGCCAGAAUAGCCAGCAACAAAAGAACUGGAAUUGGUUGAAAAACAGCACAUCGGGCAAAAUCAAAGCAGAUAAAGAAAGAAGGGAGAGAAGUCAAAAUGUAAGGAAAACGGAAAAGAUUACAUUUUGAAGAUGGAACAGAGAGGGAGAAAGUUGAGCUUUCAUGAAGAGAGGUGCCAGGAUGAAUUUUGCUUAAGAGAAGAAGCAAAAAAGAAAGUUUUAGCAUCAGCUAAAUGAUUUUUGGAAAAUAAUUAAAACCAACAAUAUUAGCUUAAUGUUGAAUAAAAAAAGGACAAUAUUUGGGUAAAUAACCCUACACGAAAGCAUGUAUCUUACAAGAAAUCAAUGACAUUUACAGGGUACAUUUGAAUUAGUCCCAGAGAACAUAUGUGCCUGCAUGCACACCUGUAUGUUUGAGAUAAAGCUAAUAAAUCCUGUUUUAUGGAUGAUUUUUACUCAAUCAAUUGCGAAUUGGAUGAGAAGAAGCAGACAAGCAAAAGUUCCUCACAUAGCAAAAUGGAGAGUAUGCUAACAAGGGGCUGGACUCACUUUUAGUCGCUCUUUAGCUUUAAUCUGUACCAUUUGCUUUGCUGCAAGCCGCUUGGCUUCCAACGGGUCAACCAUGUUCACCACUUUGCUUGAACUUCUUCUUCCUGGAGGCACCUACAAAAUCACCAAAAAAAAAAAAAAUGGGACCGUAAAUAAUAUGGAAUCUUGUGGCUUCAGGAUAUACAUCAACAAUGCAAUGAAACACUGUGCAAAACAGCAAUCUAGAUACUCUAGACUUCUAGCUUUGACUAUGACCCUGCUACACAUUCAGUUUGAGCAUUGAAUGUUUACUGUCAGAAAAAGAUGAACUUUGACAUUUUGGUUAUGUACUAAAUCUAGUAGCAACCUUGAAAUUCUCAACCAGUUUACCUGAGAUGUUUUCAGGCUUGAAAACGUGAUGCUGUAGAUCUUGAUGUCUAAAUUACAGAUGUGUGAGUGCCAAAAGUUCAUUCAUUUAUAAUAUGACACUUCUGUCUUCCCUUUAAAAAUUUGAGAAUUAUGCCAAAAGGAUCUCAGGUAUGAACCUUUUCUUCUUCCUUUUCAUAAUUUUUUUUGCCUGCUACAAAACAUGCACAGCAUUCUGCCAAGUUUAAGAGAGACUACAUACAAGCUCUUAUUUUUCUGUGACUCACACUAAAAACAAAUGCAGGUGAGUCUGCUUAGUUUCUCCCAGAGUGUUGUUUGCCAACAAAAUAGGUAUAGUAGGCUGCACAACAAUAAUUUCUGAAACGUAAGUGCACAAACAAAGGCCAACUGGAAGAUACUUUUGGACAAGUAAACCAUUAGAUGGAGUAGGAUGCAUCUUAUACCAAAGUCCCUACAUAAGGAGGCUGAAACUAUGAGGAUAAAGAAGUGGUCAAGCUCUAAGCAAAUGCCUAAGAGAUGACAAUUCCAUAUUUGACUUCUAUUGAGAGAGAGAGAGAGAUGAUGCUCAUGGAUUUUAAACAAGUGGGAUAUAAAGAAAAUAUAUCAUAGCUGUCCAUGUCAUUCCUUCAUCCCCAUAAUGGUAAAUAUAGAUACAACAUAAGAUAUCUUUCAUGGAAGUUCAAAAGGAAAUUAAUGAAUAAGUUCAGACUACAUGAUAAUGUUAGAAUGGGUGUGUAGAACAACAGAACAAGUAUUAUGUUUGCAAGAUGGCAAAGGUAAUGGUUAUAGAAGAUGAAAUAAGUUACAACUAGCUGGAUAUUUUGCAAUAUCUCCCCAAGGAAGACUGUUAGAUAAACAUUUAUUAGUGGCAUUGACAUGAUAGAUGUGGAUUACAAUAUUCAAAGCAUCAGGGGAUAACAAAUUUUUGUAACACAUUAUCUAAAAAAGGACAUGGUAACUAACACCAGCUGAAGAGGAAACAGAAGAAAGUUCAUGUAAGAGAGACCACAUACAAUGAAAUGGUUUCAUUAAAUAUCUUCCCCCUAAAAUUGCAUGAACCUAAAAGCCUUCGUCUUCUUUUCCUUUUUUACUUAAUAUGAGUCCACCGGUCCAAUACUUAGUUCUUUUAUCUGGCUCCAAGCAACCCCCAGAAUCAGUUUCUCAUCAUUUACAACAGUUAAAGGAUCAGUAGAGUUCAACGUUACCACUGUCUUAGCAUACUCCAUAAUAAGUAGCCUAAAAUUCACUUUGGUACAACAAAUGACCAAAGAGAUGCCUAAAAUUCACACUGUCUAAUCUUUAUAUCUAGUGCACUUAUUCCUGCUAUUUUUGCAUAUUCAUGUACCAAUAAAACAGCUGAAUUUCAAAUAAAAAUGUGUCUUGGAUUACUUGAGCCUCACUCUGAAAACAUACCCUUCCAAAUAUACUCUUUCAAUAGGACACCGAGGAUAUACCCACAAACAUUUGUGUGCAUAUUGAAACCAAACAGAUUGACAGGAUAAUGUGGGAGCCUUAGGUGAUGCAUACAUUAGGGUUCGCCAACACGCGAAUUGGUCGAAUCUUCCUACUUUGCAAGCUUAGUAUUGCAUCUUGUCCUCUUCUCAAUCCCCAUCUAGAAAGAGAGUAAAGAAUGAAAGGAGAACAAUAUCAAAUAAAAAACUAAGACAUUUCUUCAUUUUAUAACAACCAUUGUUACAGAUUCAGAAAGUGUAAAUAAGGUCCUAGAAAUGUCACAAAUUUUCCAAGCAAUUUCUUACAGAAAACUACAAAAAUCUGAAUGGAUUCUCAAUAAAUACAAGACAGCAAGAGAUGUCAUAAAUUUUUUUAACUCAUGGUAGUUUCCCACACUCACAGCGGACUUCCAUCCUUUUUUCCUAAGAAAUAUGAAAAAGGAAGGAUUUUUCCGAUCAAAACAACACAGUUUGGUGCAUUAUUCUUGGUCUAGUGUGGAUAAGACUUUCUUGAGUAUCUGCCUACCAAGAUUGUCACUAAACUUCAAUUAGACCACCAAAUAAUCAAACCUAAAGUUUUUUUAACACUGCCUGCACUUCUUAGCGUUUAAUAAAUUGGGUAACAACUUCUCACCUGUGACUUCUAAAUUAAAAAUAACUUGAUCCAAGCAAUUCUAACUGACAAUUUACCAUGUCAUACACAGAGUUGCUAGAUUAACAAUGUUUCUAGCAUUGUCGAAUAGACUACCAACAUCUUCUUGUUUAGAAGAAGUUUCAUGAGAUUCGGUUAGCUAAAACCAAAAAAAACUCCAAUUCAUAAGGUCAAGAUUGACACCGGCAGACCAUCUUAACAGCAUAUACAACUCAUGCUCCAAAAAUGAAUACAUUCUCCGUGUACUUACUUCACACUGUCUCAACUCCAAAACACAAAACUUACCCAGAAAAGACUACAGAAAAUUAAAAGCAAGUAAUUCACAGGUCAGAAACAAUCAAAAGCAGGAUAAUAGUAAAUACAAUUUUCCAGACAAAUAUCCAUAUGAGCCCUGUCUAUUACUCCCUUAACUAAAAUCCAAAAUCCACAAAGUACGUAGUUAGGAAUACGAGUGUUGUAUUCAGUUUCUUAGUAUCGUUGCGGUAAAGAACAAAUUUUUGCACAAGUCAGAACUGAUAAAAGAUACUAGUUGCUCUUUCUCUGAAGAAAUGAUAAAAAUGGAUUCUUGCCUCGAAUAAAUCGACCCAAAGUGAAAGAGGGAUAUUCUUAAGGUACCCACUGCAGUGUUUUACUAUAUCCAAACCGAUAAUUAAUAGAAAGAUUCAAAAACUAACCAAAACUUGAAAGAGAUGAGGCAGUAGACAAGUGGGAUGUCUCAAAUAUACCUGAAAUCAGAGGAAGAACGGAUGAUAUCAAUGGGAGCUAAGUGUUGUGGGGCGAGCAAGGAGAGACCCUUGUUCAUCACCUGCAUUGUCCAGCAACACAGCAUCCUUGCCGAACUUUUUCCCUCCGAGGGCUGAAAGUUUAUUAGUUUUAUGGGACAGCAGGACUAGGUAUUUUCUGGAUGAGGGCCUCAACAAUAGGUAAUUUACGGUGGAAAUUCCAGAAUAAAAAUAUUGGUGAGUUAAAACGUGAAAUUUUUUUUUGAAAACACCGUCAUAAUUAUUUAUUUUUAAAUUGGAUUGUUACUUCCUUCAUUGACACUAUAUAAGUUAUCGAGUGUCUAGAUAGAUAAUACAUGUAAAAUGUUUAAAGGUUAAUUCUUACAAAUUUAGGGUCCAUAUUUAUUAAUAAUGUUUCGUGCAAUUGGAACAAGCAAUUACUGAGACCCCAGUCACAUAUCUUCUUGCCUAAUUGAUAGGGAUAUAAUUAUGCAUUUUAUUUGUGGUUAUUUGGUCUUAAUCGAAGCACUGGAUUGGAACCUUGAAACAAAAGUUGUGGGCCUCCUAACCCUUUGAAGACUACUGGCGGCUACAAAAGGCGAAAAAGGACCAAAAGAAAAGGGAAUUCACGUUUUGUGAUUUGAGAGAUUAGCUCUAGUUUUCUUAUUUUUGUUCCCUAGCCGUCAGACGUCGGGAGACUUUUUUCGUUUUCGCACUUGGUCUUGGAUUUUUCUUCUCUCGGCUUUUGCUUUAUCAUUGUGAGUGGCUUAGCGGCCGCAUUGUUUUUCACUUCGUCUUGGGUUCAGCAAAAACUUCAUGAAAACUAUGAAUUGCUCCGUCGUUAUGUGGCAAGGCUGAAUCUUUUAUCUAGUUGAGGAAUAAAUCAAGGAUUGGAGCACCAUAACUGUGAGAUCGUUUUAAUUGUUUUAUUUUUGAUUUAUAUGUUCAUGGGUAUUUGAUUAUUCUCUAUUUUUCCCUGAGUUAUUACUGUUUAGAUUUAUUGGAUAAUUAGGCCUGUUAUUCGAUUGUCUAAAUAAUUGAUAGCCAAUUAGGAUGUUGGCGCGUCGCCUUUAAGUAUCUUGAUUAGUGGCAAACGAGACAAUUUCACCGCCUCGCAAGCGGUUUAAUUUGGAUCGUGGGGAUAAUUAAUCUAGCCUAAAUAAACCCGCAUGUGUGUUUGUCAUCUAGAAUUGGGUCUUUCUAAUUCCUAAUGCUGUGGCUACAUUAAAUCUUGUGAGCAUUCCUGGGGUUGUCUAAUCACAAGAGGGUAGUUUAUGAGCGUCUCUUGACUACCAUAAAAUUAAGGAAAGAUUGGUGGUUGGGUGCGUCGCUUGACCACUAUAACCAGUUUAUUCGUGAGUAUAUGAAUUGUCCCUUGUAUCUGUGAUCAGUUGUGUGCUUCGGUGCCAAGAUUAAUUCCUUGACUAGGUUGUUUUAAUUAAUUGUUAUUUGUGUAGUUUGGUUCCUGCUAUCUUAAUCAACUUUAAAUUUCAGUUUUUAUUCCUUUCUAAUUAGUUGGUACUACUGCUAAAAAUCCCCCCCAUUUUCCUGUGUGAUUUGCCUACCUGUUCCCUGAGGAGACGACCCUACUCACCACUAUACUCAUUCAGUUUUGGUAGUAGGUCUAAUAUAAAUUUUAUUUUUGGUGGUUUGACACCCACCACUAAUAUUGGGAUUCGUCAAAACAAGUUUUUUUUUUUUCCUCUUACUUAUUUUAAAGACACCAUCAGAUAUUAUUCAAAGUAAGUGUCCACCACAAGACUUGUGCCAAUGGCUAGCACCAAAGGGAAAUGGGUAAAAUCGGAACCAAGUAAUUAAUCACUUAUUCCACUCAGGAGUCAGGACUAGAGCCUCGAAUGAUUGAAAAUGAAAGAAGGCCUAUUUUGAAAACUUGACAAUUGAAAGGGGUAAUGAAUAUAGAGACAGAAAAUUGCAGGGGGUUAAUCAUAUAUAACCAAACUUUGGGUCUAGAUUUUGGUGGUAGUUACUGUAGAUAAUUCUUCAACGGCUGGAUCCGUAUUGGAUUUAGAAGCCUACUAUUUUGCUUCACUCGAGUCCUUAUUUGCUGAAUUCCUUUUCUUUUUUGAGGCCUAAUAAUAACUCUAUUUGGGAGAAUGGUCCUAUCAUAAAUUCCAGCCACGUGUGUACUUAUCCUCCACUUGAAUAGCGACAAGUUUUGACUUUUGUUUUUUUGUUUUUUUUUUUUGGUGAAAAGUUUUGACUUUUGUGUUGCAGGGGAUAUGAACAGCAAAGGAAUGAAGAGACUUUGUGAAUUCUAGGAAAGUGAAAGUAGUUUCUUUUGUAUGUUUUGUCUGGAAAUUUUCUAUUCAAGUUUCACUACUAAGUUGUGAGUUUAUUUAACCCAUUAGGUGUGAGGAAUACUUGUAAUUUGAAUAAGGUUUAUUAUACUUUGAAUCGGUUAGGGUUAGAGACUAGGACAACUAUUUCAGUGACUAUAUAAACAAAAUAAUUUUUAGAUCUAAAUAAGGUUAAUUUAAAAAUUUUUUAAAUCUUUUUCGAAUGCUAUGGUAAAUCUUUUAAUUUUUAAUAAGAUAGAAGUAAAUAUUUUAUUUCUCUAAAGGUGAUUAUAACCAUGAUGAAAAUCUGGGCAAUUUUUUGAGGGCCAUUCUAAAAGAAAAGGAAAGAUUCAAAAAAAAAAAAAAAAUUUAGAGAGUGCAAUUGUAAAGAAAAAAAACAAUUAAAAUCUUGUACUAGUCAAGUUCACAUUUUUCAGAAGUUGAAUUGCCCACCCUCAUUGUAACAUAACGGGCUUUGCCCCUUGUCGGUGAUCAUUGCUAAAUACCUGACUUUUUUUUUUUGGAAUAAAAUAUCAUAAUUUUAUUAAAAUAUGUACUAAUGACAAAAUACAUCAUCAAACAUACAUAGAUAUCGAAAAAAGAGAUCUAAAGGAUAUAUACUACAGAUCUGAAAAAUAGAUAAAGAUUACGGAAUAAAUCUCUAAAAAGGACUUCAAAAUAUAAGAUAAUAAUUAUAAUCCAACGUGCAUGUCUUCAAUCGUUAAAUUUGUUAAUUAACUAUUUCAAAUCUGGAUAUUAUCGUGAAUAGAUCCAAGAAAUUUCAUAUUUGAUAAUUAAAAUCUGAAAAAACUCAAAAUCUAAUAAAAAAAAUGGAAAAAAUCUACCUAAAUCAUGUCUUUACAAGAAUCUUCUUGCAACCUCCUCAAAGAGUUGCGCCACACAAAUUGAGAAAACGUCUUUCUUGUUAGAAAGCUGAACGUCAAUCGGUUGCCUUUGUAAGUCUUGCUUUUCAGUCGACUGUCUAAACACCCAAUUUGGUGAUUUAAAAUGAAAAUAAUGGGAUGAAAUGAGUUUAGACGUCAUAAGCAAAUCAUUAGCAAAUUAAAGAUUCCCAUAUCAAGUUCCAAUUCACUAGCAAUUCUCGGGAAUUCUAGAAUGCUGAAUCAAAUCCCCAUGAACUAAUUGAUCAAAAAAGUAGAGUGUUGUUAUAAGUACUUGAAGAUUGCAAGCUAGACAUUUGUAAGACAGAUUAGAUUCUAGCUGCUUUUUCUUUUUGUGUGUAGGCGUUAGUUGUUUUCUGGCCUCCAAUUAACUGCUUUUUGGUUAAUCAUGAUAGCUGAGAAUAUUGAAUUUCUCAUACAAAAUGGCCUGCAAUCAGUAUUACAUAUGAUACAAGAAGUCGCUCCAAUUUUCUAUCUAAAAUUCUGCAUCAGCAAUGGUAGGAGCAUAUAGCCUUGCAUUCUCCACCUUUGCAUAGCUCCUUCUGCAUUCAUGGUAAAAUAAUGUGUAGACCACAAAAUAAAAAUGUAUCAUCAGGCAAUAUGACCAAAUUCUUGGAACACUAAUGGCCAAACCAACCAAAUUGGCAUAAGCUUCCAGGAAAGAAAAUUUCUGAUGCAUUGCACCCGAAGCAAGCACCAGAAGCAUCAUUAAAACAAAUCCCUGCAACUUUUUGACUUUCCUGAGCUCAGAAUUGGCAACAUGGAUAGCCUUCAGGCCAGACAAGUUUUCCUCCAUCACAGAAACCACAAGGCUUAGCAUCCAGAGAGCACAGAUACGAACACAACACACCACACCUAAAACCACCAGUAUCCAAUACAUGGUAGUGAAAAGAGGACCUUCAGUCAUGACUCCAAUUAAUCCAAACAUGACUAGUAAGAGGAUUGCGCUUGCCAAGCUGAUCAGAAUCAUCCAAAUGCUUGUUUUCAGAGGCCUUUUCCAGCUUCCUAGUCCCGUGACUCUGGACAGCAUUUCUUUUACGCUCAAUGCUUUUGCAUCAUUAUUAGUACAGGCUUCGUACGUAGAAUGUACAGAAGCUGCUACUGAAAACAUGAAAACAACACACAAGAAAGACAAUGUUGCAAAUUUGUAAUUGAGAAGAAAACGAACAUCUCUUACAAUAGCUAUGUAUAUGGUCGGAUCAGCUUCAGUGAUUCGGACUUUUGUGGGCACAAGUAGGAAAUUGGCUACUAAAUCUCUUAAAACAGGUCGCAAUACUAGAUGAUCAGCCAAUCCCACCAGGGAAUAUAGGGAAAACAUGACGAAUGUGAUAAAAAAUGCAAGCCUCCCAUUUGCAUUGAUGGUGAUCUUCAAGGCAUUCCUCAGAAUCAGAGAAAUGGAUAAGCAAGAUUUUUGUACUUUCUUGAUGGUUUGGGCUACUAUCUCUAGUUGUUUGUCCAUCUGGUUAUUUUUCUGGGAGUGUGUAUGAAUACUCUAUGCAUUUGACGUGUUAAUGCUAAAGCUUUUAUAGAGGAGCUCCCAAGGGGUUGCGGUCUUUGAGAAUGGAUUUGUUGUUUCAGACCUUCUCAAGUCGAUGCUUUUUAGCCUAUUGGGUCCUUCUCAAGUCAAUGCUCUAAAGUCUACAAGUCGAUGCUUUUUUAGCCCAUUGGGCUUGCUUCUUAUUACUUUCCUGGAAGUUGAUGUGCUACACUUCUUUCGUCCAGUCAACCAUUUCUAGAUCUUAACCCAGCGCAGUAAUUUUCUUUUUAUUAGUGUAACUUUUAUUACAAAUCAGAAAGAGCAUAAAAAGCCCAAAUACUAGUGGAAGAUUUCAGAUAGAAAAAAAUCACAAGCUAAGCUUAAUUCUCAAUUUCUUCUAUUCAUAUUUACCUUCCUCCACAUAAUGGCAACAGCUCGAACAUCCAAAAUAAUCUUUGCAAAAACCCAGUGCAUUAACAAGAUUAAUUUGAAAAAUACAAAAUAAAAAAAUGUUUUGUCACAUGUAUAUCAUUAAAAAAAAAAAGUAUUCUUAGAAGGUAACUUUAAAUACAAGGGUUGACAUUUUUCUUAUGUAAUGCUCGCACACUGGUUUUGAAAUGCUAUCCAAUGGGAAUUCUCUAUGUACUUUCCAAAUAAUGAAAUUUAUUAUAGUAUUCAGAAACUCACAUGAACAAUAACAUUGAAAUGCUUUUCUUAAAAAAAAAAAAAGAAUAUGUGGAUUUAAUUCGGGCACAAUUUUUUUUUUUCCUUUUUUGGUCACUAAUAAUGCAUAUAAAGUCACUUAAUUCUUACGCAGCAUCUAAAAGUUUACAGAGUGUCACCGAGCAUUCAUGUGAGAUUAAGGGAAUGUGACCAGGUCUCAUAACUUGGUAGUGGUUCAAACAAGACAGGUAAGCAAGAAUUAUAACAUUUAAUUUGUUCGUUUACUCUAAUUUACUAUAUAUAAGAUAUUCCCAAAUAAAAUAAAUUAAAAUUACUAUUAGACAUUAUGGUUUGACCAUUCAUACCAGAAGAUGAAGGGGAAUAUUCAACAGUUUUCUUAACUUAUUGUGCGUGUUAUGCAAGAACUCCAAUCGUCAAAUUAUAAUAGGUGACCGAAAUUACCGUAACCAAUAUAAAAAAAAAAGUCUCUACGUUGUUUGGAAUUCCAACAUAGUCCAAUUCCAAUAAACUUUUUUCAAAAAAUAAAAAAUAGAAAAAGAAACUUUCCAUUCAUGCAGGUCAAUGUUUCUUACGAGUAAUUUAAAAGAAGGGUGCACAAAAGAAAGAAGAGAGAAUGUGCACUCGGAACUUUCCCUAUUAUUGUAUGCAUUGCAUGAGGAGAUGGGCAACUGAGUGGGGCAGCUUCUAGAUGUUUGCCAAUAAUGUCUUCUUCACUGUCAGAAGUCAGAACUAAGGUAUUCUGCAACAGUUUAGGUAAAGGACGUUAAUUCUUUGCCUUCGGUCAAGUAGUGAUGGUGAUGACAAUUAUUGGAUGCAUCGUACUAUCACAAAGGAUGAAAGAUGAGAACUGCUCACAACGCGGUUCAUGGCAAACUUUGAGUGGUUUUUGAGCAACCAGAGUGGACCAUCUCUGAGUAAAUUUUGGAAGCAGUAAAUAAUUGAGAAAUAUUAAAUUACUAACAAAGAAAAAAAGAAUAACCCGUUUCCUCAGACUUUCUUUUUCGAUUCCUAAACUCUAAUUAGUUCCUUGGAAAAGAUGUUUGUUAAUUAGUUAAGCUUCUGCAGUUUCAAGGACAGAAAAUUGUUAAUUCAGCCCUCAACUUGUGGAAAUCCAUUUGCGUUGCAUUUUUUAAUAAAAUUUUUUAUUAUUAGCAUUUGUCCGAUGAGAUUUAUAUGAGAUAAAAGACGAAAAAAAAAGUAAUUAGAAAACGUAUGCAAGAAAGAAUACAAAAGUGAUUGUAAAUGACGAUCAAAUAAUCUUUUUUCCCUAUCCUCUUCAUUUGUUAGUAUUUGUAGCAAGUAAAACUUUGGGAAGUAAAAAAAAAAAAAAUAAUAAUAAUAAAGCUUAGGAAAGUGUAAGACAUUUUUUAUAUUUUGUUUCUUUUGUGUGUUUGUUUAAAAAGUUAGAGAAUUUAUUCUUAUUGAUCUUCGUGCAUCUUUCUUUCGUCCUACAAAAUUUGAAAGAUUUCGAAAUAAGAGUUUUCACUAAGGAUUGCUAGCUUCCUAUGUCCUCUAAAUUUAUUCUUGUUAAUCUCAUACUACAUAGGAAAGUAACUUUUACCCUUUUAUUACCUCACAUCUUUCUUGGCCUUCACCUUUCCAAAUAACUUUCCUUCUUCUAUUAAAACGUAGCCUUCAUUCAAACACAAGUUGAUGAACGAUUGCACAUCUCACAAGGAAAAUUGCAGCAUGACUGAAUAAGGAAAAUUGCGGUAUAAGCACAGUUAAUAUUACGUUAUUAGGAAUCGUACAAAUGCUCUAUGAACUUGACACAAAAUGAAAUAUCCAUGAGUAACUAAGAUUAAGUAACUGAAAAAAAGAAAACCAAGAUGAAGUAUUUGACCGUGUGUGGCUAGGUGGUGGUUGUUUUAGUAGACUUGCAUUUCCCUUAGGACUAGAUUAGAAAUGUUUGCAAGAUUCUCGUGUCCUUGGUUUCUCAUGGAAAGUAUAUUAUUCGUAAUUCUUCCGAAAAUUGUAAGCUUGUCUACUGAGACAGAGAUCGAAACAACAAAUACCAGGCACGAAGCAAUACACAAAUACAGCCCUCUUUUGCUGGUAAUAUUACACAACGGCUGAGCCAUUAUUCAUACAAAAGGUUUGGUACAUCGACAAAGACAAGAAGUAGAUCUGGCUGCAAAUUUCACACUAAAAUUCUGCAAUUGCAGAGAUAGGAGUAUACAGAGCUGCGUUCUCCUCCGCCUGCUGCUUCUGCUUCAAUUC